UAGCAAGUCUUUUCAAUUGCACAGUAUUGCGCAAUGGCAAGAAAUAUCUAAUUGCACAAUAUUGUGAAAUAGCAAAUUUUUUUUUAAUUAGAGUUAUUUUCUUUGUCCAGAAUAGUAAGCAAGAAAUAUCUAAUUGCAAAAUAUUGUGCAAUAGCAAGAUUUUUUUUUUAAUUGGAGUUAUCUUUCUUUGUCCAGAAUCAACUUAAAUCUUUGUUAUAUACAAUAUACAAUGUAUAUUCACUUUUUACUACCAACUGAUAAAUUAAAAUAAUCUUUACCAUUCAGUGAUAACAAGCAGUUUUUUUACAUCUUAAUAUUUUAUGAUGUAUUUAAAUGAACAGUUAUUGUUGCAAACUACAUUAGAAAUUUUAAUUGAGAUUAGUUUUGGAAUAAGGGAAAGGGGGAUGUGAUUAAAAAAAUUGGGUUCAAUUUUUCUCAUUUGAAAUUUCAUAAAUAAAAAAGAAAAUUUCUUCAAACAUUUUUUUGAGAGGAUUAAUAUUCAACAGCAUAGUGAAUUGCUCUAAGAGAAAACAAAAAUUUUAAGUUCAUUAGAACACAUUCAUUCUGUGUCAACUAUUUAAUCACAAUCCAAAUUUAGAGCUGAAUCCAGCUUGAAUGUUGUGUCCAUACUUGCCCCAACCGUUCAGGGUUCAUUUUUAUUGUUUUAUACAAUAAACAAUGUAUAUUCACUUUUACUACCAACCAAUCUUUACCAUUCAGUGAUAACAAGCACUUUAUUUUACAUUUUAAUAUUUUAUGAUGUAUUUAAAAGAGUAGUUAUUGUUGCAAACUCCAUUAGAAAUUUGAAUUGAUAUCAGUUUUGGAAAAAGGAAAACAGGGAUGUGAAAAAAAAGGGGGGGGUUAAAUUUUUCUCAUUUCAGAUUUCAUAAAUAAAAAGAAAAUUUCUUCAAACAUUUUUUUGAGAGGAUUAAUAUUCAACAGCAUAGUGAAUUGCUCAAAGGCAAAAAAAAAACUUUAAAGUUCAUUAGACCACAUUCAUUCUGUGUCAGAAACCUAUGCUGUGUCAACUAUUUAAUUUUAGAUUUAAAAAGUUUGAAGAAGAAAUCUUUAAUUGAUUUGUAAAAUUUUGACAUUUGUUUUGUGUAAAAAAAACCCAUGUAAUGUCAAAAAUUUGAUCACAAUCCAAAUUCAGAGCUGUAUCAUGCUUGAAUGUUUUGUCCAUACUUGCCCCAACUGUUCAGGGUUCGACCUCUGCGGUCGUAUAAAGCUGCGCCCUGCGGAGCACCUGGUAUUUUUUUUGUUUUUGUUUUUGUUUUUGUUUAUUUUUUUUAUUGUUGCAG
rnacentral:lncRNA from 1 species